CUAUGAUGUAAUAUUGCACACAUCCACAGUUCUUUCAAACUCUCUACAUACCUCAAAACAGAAUGCAUGUGUCAUGGUUGAUUAUAUAUUUCCUACCUGUUCUAUGUUACAUUUUGUAUAUGUUGUGUAUUUAUAUUGAUUUUGUAUUUUAUUGUACCCUAUUGUAUCAAUGCAAUGUUUUGUGGACACAGGACAUACUUGAAAACGAGAGAAAUCUCAAUGUAU